CCCCUCUCAGGAUCAUACCUGGAGAGUUUCCAGUACUGUACCAGAUUCGACUAUGGGAGGGAGAGUCAAGCAGAGGCCUACCCAUUCCAUUCUUAGCUUGGCCAGUGGCUAGCGAGUGGAAGUUGAUCUGCUACUAGU